rnacentral:rRNA from 1 species
CCUACGGGUGACAGCAGUGGGGAAUAUUGCACAAUGGGGGAAACCCUGAUGCAGCGACGCCGCGUGAGUGAAGAUGUAAUUCGUUAUGUAAAGCUCUAUCAGCAGGGAAGAAAAUGACGUUACCUGUGUAAGAAGCCCCGGCUAACUACGUGCCAGCAGCCGCGGUAAUACGUAGGGGGCAAGCGUUAUCCGGAUUUACUGGGUGUAAAGGGCGCGUAGACGGCAGUGCAAGUCUGGAAUGAAAGGCGGUGACACAACCCCCGGACUGCACGGGAAACUGUACGGCAGGAGUGCAGGAGAGGUAAGUGGAGGUCCUGGUGUAGCAGUGAAAUGCGUGGAUAUUAGGAGGA